rnacentral:rRNA from 1 species
GGAAUAUAGGUCAAUGGACGGAAGUCUGAACCAGCCAAGUCGCGUGAAGGAUGAAGGUUCUAUGGAUUGUAAACUUCUUUUAUUCGAGGGUAAAGGUCGGUACGCGUACCGAUUUGCAAGUAUCGAAUGAAUAAGCAUCGGCUAACUCCGUGCCAGCAGCCGCGGUAAUACGGAGGAUGCGAGCGUUAUCCGGAUUUAUUGGGUUUAAAGGGUGCGUAGGCGGGCUGUUAAGCGUGAGGUGAAAGCUCGGGGCUCAACCCCGGAACUGCCUCGCGAACUGGCGGUCUUGAAUGUCCGUGCCGUGGGAGGAAUGUGUGGUGUAGCGGUGAAAUGCAUAGAGAUCACACAGAACACCGAUUGCGAAGGCAUCUCACGAACGGAUGAUUGACGCUGAGGCACGAAAGCGUGGGGAUCAAACA